UACGAAGGGGGCUAGCGUUGCUCGGAAUCACUGGGCGUAAAGCGCACGUAGGCGGAUUGCUAAGUCAGGGGUGAAAUCCUGGAGCUCAACUCCAGAACUGCCUUUGAUACUGGCGAUCUCGAGUCCGGGAGAGGUGAGUGGAACUGCGAGUGUAGAGGUGAAAUUCGUAGAUAUUCGCAAGAACACCAGUGGCGAAGGCGGCUCACUGGCCCGAUACUGACGCUGAGGCACGAAAGCUAGGGGAGCAAACGGGAGUUAGAAAACCCCGGGUUA
rnacentral:rRNA from 1 species